ACGCUCGACACCUACGAGAGGCAGCAGUGAGGAAUAUUGGUCAAUGGGCGCUAGCCUGAACCAGCCAAGUAGCGUGAAGGAUGAAGGCUCUAUGGGUCGUAAACUUCUUUUAUAUAAGAAUAAAGUGCAGUAUGUAUACUGUUUUGUAUGUAUUAUAUGAAUAAGGAUCGGCUAACUCCGUGCAAGCAGCCGCGGUAAUCUGAGCGGGCUGGCAAGGC
rnacentral:rRNA from 1 species